GCACGGACACGAAGGGAAAAACCAUUUUUCAAUCUUUCAAGAACCAUAACUCCUGAACGGUAAAAGUCAAAAUCGUCAUUAUUGAACUUGACUUCCAUUUUGUCAUCAGUAACAGCAUAUUAAAAUUUCGGAAGCUUUGGUAGAACAGUUCAUGCAUAAAUGCACGGACACGACUGGAAACUCCAUUUUUCAAUCUUUCAAGAACCAUAACUCCUGAACGGUAAAAGUCAAAUUCGUCAUUAUUGAACUUGACCUCCAUUCUUUCAUUAGUAACAACAUAUUAAAAUUUGGGAAGCUUUGGUAGAACAGUUCAUGCGUA
rnacentral:lncRNA from 1 species